GUGGAUUAGAUACCCUGGUAGUCCUGGCCCUAAACGGUGCACGUUUGCUGUAAGAGGAAUCGACCCCUUUUGUGGCGAAGCUAACGCGUUAAACGUGCCGCCUGGGAAGUACGGCCGCAAGGUUAAAACUCAAAGAAAUUGACGGGGGCCUGCACAAGCGGUGGAGUAUGUGGCUUAAUUCGAUGCAACGCGAAGAACCUUACCUGGCCUUGACAUGCACAUAGUAGAAGCCUGAAAGGGUGACGAGGUAGCAAUACCAGUGUGCACAGGUGCUGCACGGCUGUCGUCAACU
rnacentral:rRNA from 1 species